rnacentral:other from 1 species
AAACCCCUGCCGUGUUCGUGAUUGGUAUUUGUUCUUUGAUCCAACAAAGAUAAUAUCAGGAGCCUUCCUCGGUUUUGGUGUGCAUGUUCUGCUUGUACAGAAAAGCCUAAAGAAACCAUAAGGCGCCAACUUUGAACUUUCGGUUCAGAGACUUACCAACACGGCACUGUGCGGGGGUUCA